rnacentral:rRNA from 1 species
UACGUAGGGUGCGAGCGUUAAUCGGAAUUACUGGGCGUAAAGCGUGCGCAGGCGGUUUUGUAAGCCGGAUGUGAAAUCCCCGGGCUUAACCUGGGAAUGGCAUUUGGGACUGCAAGGCUCGAGUGCGGCAGAGGAGACUGGAAUUCCUGGUGUAGCAGUGAAAUGCGUAGAUAUCAGGAGGAACACCGAUGGCGAAGGCAGGUCUCUGGGCUGACACUGACGCUCAUGCACGAAAGCGUGGGGAGCAAACAGG